rnacentral:rRNA from 1 species
AGCGAACGCUGGCGGCAGGCCUAACACAUGCAAGUCGAGCGGCCGUAGCAAUACGGCAGCGGCAGACGGGAGAGUAACACGUGGGAACGCGCCCUUCGGUUCGGAAUAACCCAGGGAAACUUGGGCUAAUACCGGAUACGCCCUUACGGGGAAAGAUUUAUUGCCGAAGGAACGGCCCGCGUCCGAUUAGCUUGUUGGUGAGGUAACGGCUCACCAAGGCGACGAUCGGUAGCUGGUCUGAGAGGAUGACCAGCCUCACUGGGACUGAGACACGGCCCGGACUCCUACGGGAGGCAGCAGUGGGGAAUAUUGGACAAUGGGCGCAAGCCUGAUCCAGCCAUGCCGCGUGGGUGAUGAAGGCCCUAGGGUUGUAAAGCCCUUUCGGCGGGGAAGAUAAUGACGGUACCCGCAGAAGAAGCCCCGGCUAACUUCGUGCCAGCCGCCGCAGUAAAAC